rnacentral:piRNA from 1 species
UGAUAAGAAAAAAUGUUGACAAGGGCAGGU